UACGUAGGGGGCUAGCGUUGUCCGGAAUCAUUGGGCGUAAAGCGCGUGUAGGCGGCUUGGUAAGUCCGUUCUGAAAGCCCGGGGCUCAACCCCGGGAGGCGGAUGGAUACUGUCAAGCUCGAGUCCGGAAGAGGCAAGUGGAAUUCCCGGUGUAGCGGUGAAAUGCGCAGAUAUCAGGAGGAACACCAAUUGCGAAGGCAGCUCGCUGGGACGUUACUGACGCUGAGACGCGAAAGCGUGGGGAGCAAACAGG
rnacentral:rRNA from 1 species